CCUACGGGCGGCAGCAGUGGGGAAUAUUGCACAAUGGGGGAAACCCUGAUGCAGCGACGCCGCGUGAGUGAAGAAGUAUCUCGGUACGUAAAGUUCUGUCGCAGGGGACGAAAAUGACGGUACCCUGCAAGAAAGCUCCGGCUAACUACGUGCCAGCAGCCGCGGUAAUACGUAGGGAGCAAGCGUUGUCCGGAAUUACUGGGUGUAAAGGGAGCGUAGGCGGGAGGAUAAGUUGAAUGUGAAAUCUAUGGGCUCAACCCAUAGCUGCGUUCAAAACUGUUCUUCUUGAGUGAAGUAGAGGCAGGCGGAAUUCCUAGUGUAGCGGUGAAAUGCGUAGAUAUUAGGAGGAACACCAGUGGCGAAGGCGGCCUGUUGGGCUUUUACUGACGCUGAGGCUCGAAAGCGUGGGUAGCAAACAGGAUUAGAUACCCUAGUAGUC
rnacentral:rRNA from 1 species